CAGGUCACUCCUACGGGAGGCAGCAGUAAGGAAUAUUGGUCAAUGGACGCAAGUCUGAACCAGCCAUGCCGCGUGGAGGAUGAAGGCCCUCUGGGUUGUAAACUUCUUUUAUUGGGGAAAAAACCGGUGUUUUCUAACGCCGUUGACGGUACCUGAUGAAUAAGCACCGGCCAACUCCGUGCCAGCAGCCGCGGUAAUACGGAGGGUGCAAGCGUUAUCCGGAUUCACUGGGUUUAAAGGGUGCGUAGGUGGGCAGGUAAGUCAGUGGUGAAAUCUCCGGGCUUAACCCGGAAACUGCCGUUGAUACUAUUUGUCUUGAAUAUCGUGUAGGUGAGCGGAAUAUGUCAAGUAUCGGUGAAAUGCUUAGAUAUAACGUAGAACAUCGAUUGCAAAGGCAGCUCGCUACACUAUUAUUGACACUGAGGCACGAAAGCGUGGGGAUCAAACAGGAUUAGAUACCCUGGUAGUCCACGCCCUAAACGAUGGAUACUCGACAUCAGCGAUACACGGUUGGUGUCUGAGCGAAAGCAUUAAGUAUCCCACCUGGGAAGUACGACCGCAAGGUUGAAACUCCUAGGAAUUGACG
rnacentral:rRNA from 1 species